CUGCAUGAAGUUGGAAUCGCUAGUAAUCGCGGAUCAGCAUGCCGCGGUGAAUACGUUCCCGGGCCUUGUACACACCGCCCGUCACACCAUGAGAGUCGGGAACACCCGAAGUCCGUAGCCUGACCGCAAGGGGGCGCGGCCGAAGGUGGGUUCGAUAAUUGGGGUGAAGUCGUAACAAGGUAAC
rnacentral:rRNA from 1 species